rnacentral:rRNA from 1 species
GAUGAACGCUGGCGGCGUGCCUAAUACAUGCAAGUCGAGCGAACAGACGAGGAGCUUGCUCCUCUGACGUUAGCGGCGGACGGGUGAGUAACACGUGGAUAACCUACCUAUAAGACUGGGAUAACUUCGGGAAACCGGAGCUAAUCCGGGAUAAACUUUUGAUGCCCGGUGGUAAUUGGGAAAGUUCGGUUUUUCGGUAACUACUCGCGGUUCCGCGCCGUGUUAGUUAGGUGGUAAGGUAACGGGUUAUCAAGGGAAAGAAGCGUUGCCAACCUGAGAGGGUGAUCGGCCACACUGGAAGGGAGACACGGUCCAGACUCCUACGAGAGGGAGCAGUAGGGAAUCUGCCGCAAUGGGCGAAAGCCUGACGGAGCAACGCCGCGUGAGUGAUGAAGGUCUUCGGAUCGUAAAGCUCUGUUAUUAGGGAAGAACAAAUGUGUAAGUAACUAUGCACGUCUUGACGGUACCUAAUCAGAAAGCCACGGCUAACUACGUG